GUUACAUUUGGCCUUUGGUGGCAGCUGAGAGCUGUGAGCUGGAGCCCAGAAGUGUCCUACGUACAUUUGAUGGAACAGAAGGAGGGCAUUUUGCUUUUGCCCACUGUUGGAGACAGGAGAUAGAUGGACCUUUGGCCUGGCUCAGUGUGGCUGCUCUUCUGGUGUUGUGAAAGAGCUGGAGCCCUUGUGUCGCAGGGAAAAGCCUGAAAAUGUGAUCCAAAUGCAUUGCAAGGCUCAGAAACCAGAUGUCAAAGAAGAAGCCAAACCGUGCUGCCAUUUUUAAAUAACUGAAGUUUUAAGACAAUCUAAGCAUGCUCUGGGUCUUCACCAGUGUUUUCUGAGUGUGGAAAGGCUCAGCAGUAAAUAAAGCUUCACAUUCCAUAGAGGCAAAGGCAGAUAAAGUCUUCAGGGGAGCUAAUAUUCUCCAUCUCCUCUCUCUUGCUUGCUUUUGUCUGAUCCUCACCCUGCAUGUGCUUUGCUUUCCACAUUGUGAGUAGUCACAUUCCUCACAGUGGUAAAGAAAAGCACACAAACAACUCUUUGCUGGAACAGAGCAAAUUGUAAAUCAGAUCAG